UGAGGGAUAUUGGGCAAUGGGGGAAACCCUGACCCAGCGACGCCGCGUGAGGGAAGACGGUCUUCGGAUUGUAAACCUCUGUCUUUGGGGACGAAAAAGGACGGUACCCAAGGAGGAAGCUCCGGCUAACUACGUGCCAGCAGCCGCGGUAAUACGUAGGGAGCGAGCGUUGUCCGGAAUUACUGGGUGUAAAGGGAGCGUAGGCGGGAUUGCAAGUUGGAUGUGAAAACUGCGGGCUCAACCCGGAGAGUGCAUUCAAAACUGCGAUUCUUGAGUGAAGUAGAGGCAAGCGGAAUUCCUAGUGUAGCGGUGAAAUGCGUAGAUAUUAGGAGGAACACCAGUGGCGAAGGCGGCUUGCUGGGCUUUUACUGACGCUGAGGCUCGAAAGUGUGGGGAGCAAACAGGAUUAGAUACCC
rnacentral:rRNA from 1 species